ACCCCAAGCGGAUGACUUACAUUCCAGAAAAUUUUGCCCAACCUGAAAGUGCUAAAGAAUAGGUAGGGUUCUUCGACAACCUGACCGAGGAACAUGUGUAAUGGAUGUUUGAAUGGUUCCUAAUAGAUGAAUUCAUCGUCAGAUCCAGGGACACUCCAUACUUGGUGCAGAUCGAGUUAAGAAGGAUAUACCCCUAUGUCCCUAUCCGAGUUAUGAGGCAAGAAGCUAGGAAAAAGGUUGUCCAAGGGUUGCCAAGAUGAGUCAUUUUAGGGCAGACUUUCAAGACGACGACGUACCU
rnacentral:lncRNA from 1 species